UACGAAGGGGGCUAGCGUUGCUCGGAAUCACUGGGCGUAAAGGGUGCGUAGGCGGGUCUUUAAGUCAGGGGUGAAAUCCUGGAGCUCAACUCCAGAACUGCCUUUGAUACUGAAGAUCUUGAGUUCGGGAGAGGUGAGUGGAACUGCGAGUGUAGAGGUGAAAUUCGUAGAUAUUCGCAAGAACACCAGUGGCGAAGGCGGCCUACUGGUCCGGCACUGACGCUGAGGUGCGAAAGCGUGGGGAGCAAACAGG
rnacentral:rRNA from 1 species